UACGGGGGGGGCAAGCGUUGUUCGGAAUUACUGGGCGUAAAGGGCGCGUAGGCGGCCUGCUAAGUCGGACGUGAAAUCCCUCGGCUCAACCGAGGAACUGCGUCCGAUACUGGUGGGCUUGAAUCCGGGAGAGGGAUGUGGAAUUCCAGGUGUAGCGGUGAAAUGCGUAGAUAUCUGGAGGAACACCGGUGGCGAAGGCGGGUCUCUGGGCCGAUACUGACGCUGAGGAGCGAAAGCGUGGGGAGCGAACAGG
rnacentral:rRNA from 1 species